rnacentral:rRNA from 1 species
UGGGGAAUCUUGGACAAUGGGGGCAACCCUGAUCCAGCCAUGCCGCGUGAGUGAUGAAGGCCUUAGGGUCGUAAAGCUCUUUCGCCUGUGAAGAUAAUGACGGUAGCAGGUAAAGAAACCCCGGCUAACUCCGUGCCAGCAGCCGCGGUAAUACGGAGGGGGCUAGCGUUGUUCGGAAUUACUGGGCGUAAAGCGCACGUAGGCGGACCAGAAAGUUGGGGGUGAAAUCCCGGGGGCUCAACCCCGGAACUGCCUCCAAAACUAUUGGUCUAGAGUUCGAGAGAGGUGAGUGGAAUUCCAAGUGUAGAGGUGAAAUUCGUAGAUAUUUGGAGGAACACCAGUGGCGAAGGCGACUCACUGGACAGGUAUUGACGCUGAGGUACGAAAGCGUGGGGGAGCGAACAGGAUUAGAUACCCUGGUAGUCCACGCCGUAAACGAUGUCUGCUAGUCGUUGGGGAGCUAGCUCUUCGGUGACGCAGCUAACGCAUUAAGCAGACCGCCU